rnacentral:lncRNA from 1 species
AUGUGGCAACCAGGCCAGGCCACACCUACGUGCAGACAACUUGACUCUGGCCUGGGGCGGGCAGCCGGGAGGAGACCCGAGAGGCACCCACAGCCACCUGCAGGGAGGGCUCAUGGCUCUGGGUUGCCCACGUCCCCUCGGGAGCCCCAUGGGGAGGGAAGGGCUGCAGCCACACCCAGAGCAGCCCGGCCUCCUCCCCUGCCCGGGCCCAGCACUCCCGGACAGGGCCUGCCUGGACACUCCCGAGGUGCCCAGCCCGCACUGGUGUCCCCACACAACGGACUCACCCCGGUGCCCGGGAUGCCCGCACACGGCUUCAGCUCCCCGGCCCCAGCGCGGGAGAGGGACUGCCGUCGCCUGCAGCCGGCGCCCGCCCGCCCACUGUCCCGGGCCCCGCCAGCCCCGCGACCGCCGCCCCGUGCCCGGGCUGUGCGGGCCCUGCCCAUCGCUGCCCCGGUGCUCCCAGACGCGGCGCCGACUCACGUGAACACGAAGAAGAGGGUGCUGGAGCCGACCAGCAGCGCAGCGGCCGUGGCCACCGGGAUGUACUUGGCGGGUUUGAGGCGCGUCCCGGGGCUGCGGGGCAUCCUGGGCGCCGCGCCGCCGCAUCCCUCCCCGGGGCCGGGCGGGCGGGGCCGGGGUCGGGCCGGGGUCGGGCGGGCGGGCUGGACGCGGCGCAGGACCCGCGGCGGCGGCGGCGGCGGCGGAGGAAAUCCCACCCACUGGCGGCGGCGGCGGCGGCGCGCUGAUGUCAGCGCGCCCCAUAAGGUGGACCGGGCGCCGGGGCUGCGGCGAGGAGGGACGGGGCGGGGCGAAUCGACGGGUCCCGGGGCCGCCCACCGGUUCCCGGGACCCUCGGAGGGCGGGGCCUCGCGGCCUCGGGGACUCCAACUCGGCGAGCGCCCGCGGCUCUCGGGGACCGGGCACCCACGCACCCCUGCGGCCCGGCCGGCCGGUGGUCACCACGGCGAAGGCCAGGGCUCCCUGGUUCCGGGCCGCGGAGGCGUGCAGGUGGCCUCGGGGGCGUCUGUGGGCGCAGCCCUCUCCCUAACGACCCUCUGGUCUGGAACCCCCUGGCAUUCACUAGGGGGCGCGGGUGUGACACCGCAGCGGCGUCGUGGCUGUUUUGCCUCCUGA